UAAAUCUAGCUUCAUUAGAGAUGUCUCCUUCUUUCUUUUGUCUCUUUGUUCUCUUCUCUUGAUCAUUGUUAUAGGAAAAAUUACCUUGUGGGCUGCCAUUUCAUUCCUAUCUAUUUACUUCUUUUAUGUUUGUGUGGUUUGCCUUAUGCACUUUCUCUUUAGGAAAGAAGAGAAAGUGAACCCAUUAGCCAAUUCUCUAUCUUCAAAAAUUCUCAUCACUGAUAGCCAGGGGGAUGUUGUGGAGAUGGGUAUACCAUUACUUGGUUAUGUUGAUGAUGAAAAGCCC
rnacentral:misc_RNA from 1 species